rnacentral:rRNA from 1 species
CAGUCGCCGCGGUAAUACAGAGGAUGCAAGCGUUAAUCGGAAUUACUGGGCGUAAAGCGUGCGUAGGCGGUGAGUUAAGUCUGCUGUGAAAUCCCCGGGCUCAACCCGGGAAUGGCAGUGGAUACUGGCUCGCUAGAGUGUGUCAGAGGAUGGUGGAAUUCCCGGUGUAGCGGUGAAAUGCGUAGAGAUCGGGAGGAACAUCAGUGGCGGAGGCGGCCAUCUGGGACAACACUGACGCUGAGGCACGAAAGCGUGGGGAGCAAACAGGAUUAGAUACCCCAGUAGUCCCUGUCUCUUAUAA